GGGGAAGUCCUGGAGCGUGGACUCCGGGACUGCUCCAAAGGAUGGCGGACGCUAGGAUUUGUUAUUUGGAAACCUCAAAGAAUGGCGCGAGGAGAGAUUUCUUCCUGAGAUUUGGGGGAAAGCUACGGGUACGAGAUCUUGGGCUCAGCUCAUCUCGUCUCUUCCCGGAGGGCGCGUUGCGACCCAAGGGGAUUCUAUGCCCUUCCUGGGCCUCAGUUUCUCGCCUAAAAUAAGGACUAAUCUUCCUAAACGCCCAGGCAGUUACAUUGCAUUGCAAUGGGAAGUCCAUGCUCUGGAAAUUGCCAGUGAAGUCAGAAGCGCGGGAGGGCGAGAGAAUUCACCAGAGCCAGAGCAGGGAGCAGAGCAGGCAGAAGGACCGAAGUACACUGCUGAGGG